rnacentral:rRNA from 1 species
GGUUAAGCGACUAAGCGUACACGGUGGAUGCCCUGGCAGUCAGAGGCGAUGAAGGACGUGCUAAUCUGCGAUAAGCGUCGGUAAGGUGAUAUGAACCGUUAUAACCGGCGAUUUCCGAAUGGGGAAACCCAGUGUGAUUCGUCACACUAUCAUUAACUGAAUCCAUAGGUUAAUGAGGCGAACCGGGGGAACUGAAACAUCUAAGUACCCCGAGGAAAAGAAAUCAACCGAGAUUCCCCCAGUAGCGGCGAGCGAACGGGGAGCAGCCCAGAGCCUGAAUCAGUGUGUGUGUUAGUGGAAGCGUCUGGAAAGGCGCGCGAUACAGGGUGACAGCCCCGUACACAAAAAUGCACAUGCUGUGAGCUCGAUGAGUAGGGCGGGACACGUGGUAUCCUGUCUGAAUAUGGGGGGACCAUCCUCCAAGGCUAAAUACUCCUGACUGACCGAUAGUGAACCAGUACCGUGAGGGAAAGGCGAAAAGAACCCCGGCGAGGGGAGUGAAAAAGAACCUGAAACCGUGUACGUACAAGCAGUGGGAGCACAGAGCAAUCUGUGUGACUGCGUACCUUUUGUAUAAUGGGUCAGCGACUUAUAUUCUGUAGCAAGGUUAACCGAAUAGGGGAGCCGAAGGGAAACCGAGUCUUAACUGGGCGUUAAGUUGCAGGGUAUAGACCCGAAACCCGGUGAUCUAGCCAUGGGCAGGUUGAAGGUUGGGUAACACUAACUGGAGGACCGAACCGACUAAUGUUGAAAAAUUAGCGGAUGACUUGUGGCUGGGGGUGAAAGGCCAAUCAAACCGGGAGAUAGCUGGUUCUCCCCGAAAGCUAUUUAGGUAGCGCCUCGUGAAUUCAUCUCCGGGGGUAGAGCACUGUUUCGGCAAGGGGGUCAUCCCGACUUACCAACCCGAUGCAAACUGCGAAUACCGGAGAAUGUUAUCACGGGAGACACACGGCGGGUGCUAACGUCCGUCGUGAAGAGGGAAACAACCCAGACCGCCAGCUAAGGUCCCAAAGUCAUGGUUAAGUGGGAAACGAUGUGGGAAGGCCCAGACAGCCAGGAUGUUGGCUUAGAAGCAGCCAUCAUUUAAAGAAAGCGUAAUAGCUCACUGGUCGAGUCGGCCUGCGCGGAAGAUGUAACGGGGCUAAACCAUGCACCGAAGCUGCGGCAGCGACGCUUAUGCGUUGUUGGGUAGGGGAGCGUUCUGUAAGCCUGCGAAGGUGUGCUGUGAGGCAUGCUGGAGGUAUCAGAAGUGCGAAUGCUGACAUAAGUAACGAUAAAGCGGGUGAAAAGCCCGCUCGCCGGAAGACCAAGGGUUCCUGUCCAACGUUAAUCGGGGCAGGGUGAGUCGACCCCUAAGGCGAGGCCGAAAGGCGUAGUCGAUGGGAAACAGGUUAAUAUUCCUGUACUUGGUGUUACUGCGAAGGGGGGACGGAGAAGGCUAUGUUGGCCGGGCGACGGUUGUCCCGGUUUAAGCGUGUAGGCUGGUUUUCCAGGCAAAUCCGGAAAACUAAGGCUGAGGCGUGAUGACGAGGCACUACGGUGCUGAAGCAACAAAUGCCCUGCUUCCAGGAAAAGCCUCUAAGCAUCAGGUAACAUCAAAUCGUACCCCAAACCGACACAGGUGGUCAGGUAGAGAAUACCAAGGCGCUUGAGAGAACUCGGGUGAAGGAACUAGGCAAAAUGGUGCCGUAACUUCGGGAGAAGGCACGCUGAUAUGUAGGUGAAGUCCCUCGCGGAUGGAGCUGAAAUCAGUCGAAGAUACCAGCUGGCUGCAACUGUUUAUUAAAAACACAGCACUGUGCAAACACGAAAGUGGACGUAUACGGUGUGACGCCUGCCCGGUGCCGGAAGGUUAAUUGAUGGGGUUAGCGGUAACGCGAAGCUCUUGAUCGAAGCCCCGGUAAACGGCGGCCGUAACUAUAACGGUCCUAAGGUAGCGAAAUUCCUUGUCGGGUAAGUUCCGACCUGCACGAAUGGCGUAAUGAUGGCCAGGCUGUCUCCACCCGAGACUCAGUGAAAUUGAACUCGCUGUGAAGAUGCAGUGUACCCGCGGCAAGACGGAAAGACCCCGUGAACCUUUACUAUAGCUUGACACUGAACAUUGAGCCUUGAUGUGUAGGAUAGGUGGGAGGCUUAGAAGUGUGGACGCCAGUCUGCAUGGAGCCGACCUUGAAAUACCACCCUUUAAUGUUUGAUGUUCUAACGUGGACCCGUGAUCCGGGUUGCGGACAGUGUCUGGUGGGUAGUUUGACUGGGGCGGUCUCCUCCUAAAGAGUAACGGAGGAGCACGAAGGUUGGCUAAUCCUGGUCGGACAUCAGGAGGUUAGUGCAAUGGCAUAAGCCAGCUUGACUGCGAGCGUGACGGCGCGAGCAGGUGCGAAAGCAGGUCAUAGUGAUCCGGUGGUUCUGAAUGGAAGGGCCAUCGCUCAACGGAUAAAAGGUACUCCGGGGAUAACAGGCUGAUACCGCCCAAGAGUUCAUAUCGACGGCGGUGUUUGGCACCUCGAUGUCGGCUCAUCACAUCCUGGGGCUGAAGUAGGUCCCAAGGGUAUGGCUGUUCGCCAUUUAAAGUGGUACGCGAGCUGGGUUUAGAACGUCGUGAGACAGUUCGGUCCCUAUCUGCCGUGGGCGCUGGAGAACUGAGGGGGGCUGCUCCUAGUACGAGAGGACCGGAGUGGACGCAUCACUGGUGUUCGGGUUGUCAUGCCAAUGGCACUGCCCGGUAGCUAAAUGCGGAAGAGAUAAGUGCUGAAAGCAUCUAAGCACGAAACUUGCCCCGAGAUGAGUUCUCCCUGACUCCUUGAGAGUCCUGAAGGAACGUUGAAGACGACGACGUUGAUAGGCCGGGUGUGUAAGCGCAGCGAUGCGUUGAGCUAACCGGUACUAAUGAACCGUGAGGCUUAACCUU